rnacentral:rRNA from 1 species
UUGGAGGGCAAGUCUGGUGCCAGCAGCCGCGGUAAUUCCAGCUCCAAUAGCGUAUAUUAAAGUUGUUGCAGUUAAAAAGCUCGUAGUUGAAUUUCGGGGUCAGUAGGUUGGUCGUGCCACCGGUACGUACUGGUCUCACUGAUUCCUCCUUCCUGAUGAGCUGUAAUGCCAUUAAUUUGGUGUUGCAGGGAAUCUGGACUGUUACUUUGAAAAAAUUGAGUGUUUAAAGCAGGCUAACGCUUGAAUACAUUAGCAUGGAAUAA